rnacentral:rRNA from 1 species
AACGAACGCUGGCGGCGUGCUUAACACAUGCAAGUCGAGCGAGAAAGGGGGGCGAACCCCUCGAGUAGAGCGGCGCACGGGUGAGUAACGCGUGGGUAACCUACCCCCACGGCGGGGGAUAACUACUCGAAAGGGUGGCUAAUACCGCAUGAGACCACGGGAUCUUCGGAUCUUGCGGCUAAAGAUCGCACCGGCUUGCCGGUGCUGUCACCAGGGGAUGGGCCCGCGUCCGAUUAGCUAGUUGGCGAGGUAAUGGCUCACCAAGGCUACGAUCGGUAGCUGGUCUGAGAGGAUGAUCAGCCACACUGGAACUGAAACACGGUCCAGACUCCUACGGGUGGCAG